AUGGCAAAUUAGCUUUUUCAUGUGCAACUGGAUUGAUUUGCUAGUAUUUUGUUGAGGAUUUUUGCAUCUAUGUUCAUCAGGGAUAUUGGCCUGAAGUUUUCUUUUUUCAUUGUGUUUCUGCCAGGUUUUGGUAUUAGAGUGAUACUGGCCUCAUAGAAUGAGUUAUGGAGGAGUCCCUCCUCCUCAAUUUUUUGGGGAAUAAUUUCAGUAUGAUUGGUACCAGCUCAUCUUUAUAGGUAGAAUUUGGCUGUGAAUCUCUCUGGCUGAGGGCCUUUUCAGGUAAAAGGCCAAACCUGAAAGUCCACAUCAAUACCACAAGUGACUCCAUCCUCUUGAAGUUCCUGCGUCCAAGUCCAAAUGUAAAGCUUGAAGGUCUUCUCCUGGGAUAUGGCAGCAAUGUAUCACCAAACCAGUACUUCCCUCUUCCCGCUGAAGGGAAAUUCACAGAGGCUAUAGUUGAUGCAGAGCCGAAAUAUCUGAUAGUUGUGCGACCUGCUCCACCUCCAAGUCAAAAGAAGUCAUGUUCAGGUAAAACUCGUUCUCGCAAACCUCUCCAGCUGGUGGUUGGCACUCUGACACCAAGCUC
rnacentral:sRNA from 1 species